rnacentral:rRNA from 1 species
AUUGAACGCUGGCGGAAUGCUUUACACAUGCAAGUCGAACGGCAGCACGGGGGCAACCCUGGUGGCGAGUGGCGAACGGGUGAGUAAUACAUCGGAACGUGCCCGGUCGUGGGGGAUAACGUAGCGAAAGUUACGCUAAUACUGCAUACGAUCUGAGGAUGAAAGCGGGGGACCUUCGGGCCUCGCGCGAUCGGAGCGGCCGAUGUCAGAUUAGGUAGUUGGUGGGGUAAAGGCCUACCAAGCCGACGAUCUGUAGCUGGUCUGAGAGGACGACCAGCCACGCUGGGACUGAGACACGGCCCAGACUCCUACGGGAGGCAGCAGUGGGGAAUUUUGGACAAUGGGCGCAAGCCUGAUCCAGCCAUUCCGCGUGCAGGACGAAGGCCUUCGGGUUGUAAACUGCUUUUGUAUGGAACGAAAAGGCUCUGGCUAAUACCUGGGGCUCAUGACGGUACCGUAAGAAUAAGCACCGGCUAACUACGUG